GCCCUGAYCAUGGUCCCUCUAGGUUUAUAGCUUUUCUGUGAAGAGCUUUGUGAGAAACCAAAUCCAGAGUGUGGCUUGRUGUUUUCAGGGCUAUGUGGCAAAUACUGCUAUUUAUGUUAUCCAGUGUCAUUGGAAGCUGAGAGUGGGUCUUAGCUUCUCUUUUUCUCUUGUUUUUGCAUUUUGGAUAAUGAAAAUAGAAAACCUGUAUGCACUGUCUAAGAUCAUUACUACAUGGGGGAAAAAACAAAGGGUCUGGAAAGGAGCUUUUGUUUCUAUUUCAUCUGCUUUCAGACAGAGAGUUCUGUAAAUUGUCCCAAAGGAGCUCCGGUGCCUGCAUGUUACUCCAUUCCACUCCUACUCUGUUAGAGACCACUGUCUAAUAGUGAGCUGCAAAAUUGCUUGAUACUUUUCCAAGCAGAAAUCUGUUACAGUCCUGAAAAUUCCUURCCUAGUACAUGAUUUUCUAUUAUUUGGAGACAGCUUUAGUUCUUUCACUUUGCACAAAUGACAGUUUCUAGCUCCCUGAGUGUUAUGGUUGUUGAAUUCCCGCCUUGCUCUGCAUCUGAGCAGAGAGCUGUAGCAGAGUACCAGUAUCCUGGUGAGGGUGGGUGGAGGGAGAAGUAACUUUAUUGUUUUUGCGCAAUGUUCCUUCUGGUUUCUCAACUUGAUGAUUGCUCAGUUUACAACAGCAGACCACUCUUCAGAUCCCCCUUCACUCGUCAGGCUUUCUCUUCUGUGUCUAGCAGUCGUGUCACAUGUCAACCAUCUUACCCUUCUGGAGUUCAUGACAAUUGCAAAAUAAUAAAGAUGCUGUGUAAUAGUAAGUUUGUCUUUUGAACAACAGCUUCAUUUUUUCAUGUUGUUAUCCAACAACAACCCAGAAAUCCAAGAAAAAAAUUCUCUUGUGGUAGUACCUAGCAGACUGUGGCAGCAACGGGUGUAAAAAAAAAAAAUUACAUAGCAUUGUUUUUGUCUUAAGCAAUACAUUAUUACUGUAUUGGGUCAUUUGACUUCUACAUUUAUUUAGGCUUAAAAAGAGCAACUUUAACGGUAUUAUUUUUAUUAAAAGGGGGUCCAUAAGAAUGGCCAUCUCAUUGCCUUUGACUGGGCUUGUUGCUGACAAUUGACUGAAAAGGACUGCAGAGAUGUGGAAGCAAAAAGGAGUAGGAGAGCUCAAAAAUUCAGCAACAAUAAGUCAAGAAUACCAAAGUGAUUCAUUGACUUUAAGUAUUUAAAUUCUCACAAGUCCUGUUCAAUUGGAGUUGAAAGUUGGGAAGUGUUCUUGUGAGUCACUUGGUGUCCGGACAUAGACAAACUUCAUCUAGACCCUAGGAGUGAAAAUCAAGAGGUUUCUUUGACUAGUCAGAAAAUUCUGCACCU